rnacentral:rRNA from 1 species
GGUUGAUCCUGCCAGUAGUCAUAUGCUUGUCCUAAAGAUUAAGCCAUGCAUGUCUAAGUAUAUACCUUUAUACGGUGAAACUGCGAAUGGCUCAUUAUAUCAGUUAUAAUUUACUUGAUGAUUUCUUUACUACAUGGAUAACCGUGGUAAUUCUAGAGCUAAUACAUGCGAAAGACCUAACUUUAUUGGAAGGGUCGUAUUUAUUAGAUAAAAACCAAUGCCAGUGAUGGCCUUUGGUGAGUCAUGAUAACUGCGCGGAUCGCAUAGCCUUGAGCUGGCGACGCUUCAUUCAA